rnacentral:rRNA from 1 species
AUUGAACGCUGGCGGCAUGCCUUACACAUGCAAGUCGAACGGCAGCGCGGGCUUCGGCCUGGCGGCGAGUGGCGGACGGGUGAGUAAUGCAUCGGAACGUGCCCAGGAGUGGGGGAUAACGUAGCGAAAGUUACGCUAAUACCGCAUACGUACUGAGGUAGAAAGCGGGGGAUCGAAAGACCUCGCGCUCAUGGAGCGGCCGAUGUCGGAUUAGCUAGUUGGCGGGGUAAAAGCCCACCAAGGCGACGAUCCGUAGCUGGUCUGAGAGGACGACCAGCCACACUGGGACUGAGACACGGCCAGACUCCUACGGGAGGCAGCAGUGGGGAAUCUUGGACAAUGGGGGAAACCCUGAUCCAGCAAUGCCGCGUGUGGGAUGAAGGCCCUCGGGUUGUAAACCACUUUUGGCAGGAAAGAAAUCGCCUGUGCUAAUACCACGGGCGGAUGACGGUACCUGCAGAAUAAGCACCGGCUAACUACGUGCCAGCCGCCGCUGUAA